UACGUAGGAUGCAAGCGUUGUCCGGAAUUAUUGGGCGUAAAGAGCGCGCAGGCGGUCUAUCAAGUCAGAUGUGAAAUAUCCGGGCUUAACCCGGAGGGGUCAUUUGAAACUGGUAGACUAGAGUACAGCAGAGGAUAGCGGAAUUCCCGGUGUAGUGGUGAAAUGCGUAGAUAUCGGGAGGAACACCAGCGGCGAAGGCGGCAACCUGGACAAGUACUGACACUCAACUACGAAAGCGUGGGGAGCAAACAGG
rnacentral:rRNA from 1 species